AUUGAACGCUGGCGGCACGCCUAACACAUGCAAGUCGAGCGGCAGCGAGACUAGUAGCAAUACUAGUUGUCGGCGAGCGGCGGACGGGUGAGUAUCACGUAGGAAUCUGCCCUUAAGCGGGGGAUAACCAAGGGAAACUUUGGCUAAUACCGCAUAAUCUCGAGAGCGCCAAGCUGCCCGCAAGGGUGGCACUUGAGGAGGAACCUGCGUCCGAUUAGCUAGUUGGUGGGGUAAUGGCCUACCAAGGCGAUGAUCGGUAACUGGUCUGAGAGGACGACCAGUCACACUGGGACUGAGACACGGCCCAGACUCCUACGGGAGGCAGCAGUGGGGAAUAUUGGACAAUGGGGGCAACCCUGAUCCAGCGAUGCCGCGUGAGUGAAGAAGGCCUUCGGGUCGUAAAGCUCUUUAGGUUGGGAAGAAGGGUAUUGGCUGAAUAAUCCAGUACUUUGACGGUACCGACAGAAUAAGCACCGGCAAACUCUGUGCCAGCAGCCGCCGCGGUA
rnacentral:rRNA from 1 species